rnacentral:lncRNA from 1 species
CACACAACAUAUUUCAAUAAAUGCGUUCCUUUUUCUGCAAUAUCCUAACAACCUUCAUCCCAUGGCAUACUUCUGUGUCCAGCUCCUGGCCGUGGAUUCAUAUUUGGCCUUGUCGGACUUGUACAUGUGGGCAAUCUCCGGUACAAGAGGGUCAUCAGGAUUUGGAUCAGUAAGCAAGGAGCAGAUAGAGAGCAGGACCUGAUACGCAUAUAAUUUUCAGUUGCAUAACCAACAACCAACUACUAUAUUGCCAUAAACUCAAUAUUUUAAAUAGUAUUUUUACAUCAACAUCAAGAGUUUCCUCUCAAUCCACCACCAUCCAACCCCUUAUUAAAGCCAGAUUUCAACAUAGGCAUAUACUUAUAGAUGUACCGAAAUAGACUUAACAGAUGACAAAGCUUGAAAAAACUUGUACAGUUAAUGUCAAAUAAUUUCACCACAAAUAGAAGCGUAUUUGUAGGACACUGAUAGGUGUGACGAAAAUGAGAGUGAUGUUGAUCGUUUAAAUAUUUUUUAUAUAGCUGUAAUCUCAUUGUGGAGGCUUAAUUGGACCUUGAGUAGAAGGGAAGAAAGCUAGCAAAAUGAUUAAGAAAUAAAGAAGGACAAAACAAUUUCUUAAUGAACUGGGAAAUUUCAGUUCGUUUCCCUCAAAAAUCUCUCAGAUGAGAUAAAAAGAGCACGUAUCUGCUAUCCAACUUACUUUGCAAGAUCCAAAAGAUGCACUUGGGAGUACAACUUUAUGAUCCCAGGGUCAGUUUUACCUGGCUGUGCAAGACCAGAGAGUUGUACGCCACUACUAAACCAGAAUAAAAAGAUUUUAAACACAUAAAAUGCUACUAAUUAAAUCUAAAAGGAGGGAAUUCAAACCUUUGAAAUGGUAAGCGCUGGACUCCACUGUUCUUUAAGGAUAUCAAGACAGAUGCUUCCAUUGCUGUUGAUGUUCGGGUGGAAGACCUUGGUCCUAAAAGCAACCUAAACAACAAAAUACCAUGAUAAAUUUUAAGUCAAAAGACUCGAAACAACCCCAUACACGACCACUGUCAAAAAAAAAAUUAUUAUCAGACGCUUGAUUUGCAUUCAAAAGAAUAGUCACCUUUGGGGGCUUGAAAGGAUAAUCAGGAGGAAAAUGAAUGGUAACUAAAAAUACACCUCCUGCAUAUGGGCUAUCAGAAGGGCCCAUAAUUGUUGCUUGCCAGUGGAACAUGUCUUCAGCCACAGGGCCUGUUAAAUAAUCAAACAAGCAUUGAAAGACUAUCAAAAUCACAAAUUUAGUUUAGAUUAGAUGAAUUGAUUAAAAAUAAAAAUAAAGUUACACAUUCAGAGGCGAUACGGGCACAGCAUUUUUUACCCAAUUGAUGUGGCAUAAUACACAACACUCAUUGAUAGGUGAUACUUAAUUACGCAUUAACAAUGAAAUAGUAAAAUCGACAACAGCCUCCUAUAAACUACACAUUAAAGAUGGGAUACGGCGUUGUUCCCAAUUGACAUGGCCCUCAUUGAUAGAGGCUUACUUAAUUUCACAUCAGUAUUGAAAUAAUAAAGUCAACAACAGCCUCCCAUAUGACAGCUAUUGUUCAAGAACAUGUAAAUCUUUUGUUAUCCAAUUAUAGGCUCGGGAAUUAAAUAUAAAUGCAGAUUUAGUUCAUUCAGUUUUUUAAUACAUACAAAGAAAAAGUGACCAUGAACUUCAUGCUCUCUUUGGAAAGGUUGAAAACAACCAGCAGCCAAUGAAACUACUCCAGCAUGAUAUACGUCGGUAGCCAAUCAGAAUUCAGAAUCAAUAGUAAAUAUAGAUCAAGUAAACCCUAUCACCAAAUGAUACGAAAUAUAAGUAAUCUAAAAUGUGGUUCAAAUUGAAAAGUAACAAAAAAUUAUACCAGCGCUGCAAGACGUGGGAGGAUCCUUCUGCAAAUCCUUGAGUUCCUUCAAAAUACGCUUUGAAGCCAUGACUCUUCAACGGGUUAUUAAAAUUGAAACUACAACGAACCUUAAGACCUGCGAAACUAUAAACAGAUCCAUAUACGGCUUCUUAAUUAGACUAUCCAAGCCUGUAAAACAACAAAUUAUUUGAUCUACUGCAUCGGAAAAAAAAAGUUUAAAUCAAAAUUUCGAAAAUACUAAAAAUAUAACUACGCAAAUUGACCUUGCGCGGCAGAGAACAGGAUCGGAGAGCGAUAGCGUCGAGAAAGCGAAACGGUGAAGCAGAUCUAGGUCGUCAAGCCGCCCCCGCCUCGCUCCUCUAUCAACCCCUUGCUUUGUUGUUCUUCA